GAUGAACGCUAGCGGGAGGCCUAACACAUGCAAGCCGAGCGGUAUUGUUUCUUCGGAAAUGAGAGAGCGGCGUACGGGUGCGGAACACGUGUGCAACCUGCCUUUAUCUGGGGGAUAGCCUUUCGAAAGGAAGAUUAAUACUCCAUAACAUAUUGAUUGGCAUCAAUUAAUAUUGAAAGCUCCGGCGGAUAGAGAUGGGCACGCGCAAGAUUAGCUAGUUGGUGAGGUAACGGCUCACCAAGGCGAUGAUCUUUAGGGGGCCUGAGAGGGUGAUCCCCCACACUGGUACUGAGACACGGACCAGACUCCUACGGGAGGCAGCAGUGAGGAAUAUUGGUCAAUGGGUGCAAGCCUGAACCAGCCAUCCCGCGUGAAGGACGACUGCCCUAUGGGUUGUAAACUUCUUUUGUAUAGGGAUAAACCUACCCUCGUGAGGGUAGCUGAAGGUACUAUACGAAUAAGCACCGGCUAACUCCGUGCCAGCAGCCGCGGUAAUACGGAGGGCGCAAGCGUUAUCCGGAUUUAUUGGGUUUAAAGGGUCCGUAGGCGGACUUAUAAGUCAGUGGUGAAAGCCUGUCGCUUAACGAUAGAACUGCCAUUGAUACUGUAAGUCUUGAGUAUAUUUGAGGUAGCUGGAAUAAGUAGUGUAGCGGUGAAAUGCAUAGAUAUUACUUAGAACACCAAUUGCGAAGGCAGGUUACCAAGAUAUAACUGACGCUGAGGGACGAAAGCGUGGGGAGCGAACAGGAUUAGAUACCCUGGUAGUCCACGCCGUAAACGAUGCUAACUCGUUUUUGGGCUUUAGGGUUCAGAGACCAAGCGAAAGUGAUAAGUUAGCCACCUGGGGAGUACGCUCGCAAGAGUGAAACUCAAAGGAAUUGACGGGGGCCCGCACAAGCGGUGGAUUAUGUGGUUUAAUUCGAUGAUACGCGAGGAACCUUACCAAGACUUAAAUGGGAAUUGACAGCUUUAGAAAUAGAGCUUUCUUCGGACAAUUUUCAAGGUGCUGCAUGGUUGUCGUCAGCUCGUGCCGUGAGGUGUUAGGUUAAGUCCUGCAACGAGCGCAACCCCUGUCACUAGUUGCCAUCAUUCAGUUGGGGACUCUAGUGAGACUGCCUACGCAAGUAGAGAGGAAGGUGGGGAUGACGUCAAAUCAUCACGGCCCUUACGUCUUGGGCCACACACGUAAUACAAUGGCCGGUACAGAGGGCAGCUACACAGCGAUGUGAUGCAAAUCUCGAAAGCCGGUCUCAGUUCGGAUUGGAGUCUGCAACUCGACUCUAUGAAGCUGGAAUCGCUAGUAAUCGCGCAUCAGCCAUGGCGCGGUGAAUACGUUCCCGGGCCU
rnacentral:rRNA from 1 species